rnacentral:siRNA from 1 species
UUAGGUGCUUGCGUCGACUUG